rnacentral:miRNA from 1 species
CACCUGGGACUUGCAGCCAUG